CUCUGUGAAUGCACACUAAUGGGUUUAUCUGCGCCUGCGCAGAGGUCUCCAGAAUAUUCUAGAGCUCAAACGUCCAUUCGCUAGGACCACCCCCUAGUACAUGUGGUCUGCCCAUCCUUAUGAGUGUCUCAGUUCCUUUUUGCCGCCUCUAAGGUCUCAUCUUCGGUUGAGCUCUCCGUUUGCGCAAUCUGCUUCUUUUUCCUGAGGAAACUUCAUAAUUGUAUCGUUAUUUAGAAUAGACUCUCUUCAUUAUUCUUUUGUGAGAUUUGGAUUUUUUCCUCUAUUUCCCCUGCCCCCCCUUCCUUUCCGUUCCUGCCGUUUAUGGCCCCCACAGGGCCGUUUAAGAGGUGCACUUCGUGCAUGAAUAAGAUCCCUGUGUCUGAUGGCCACAGUUCUUGCCUGUUUUGUCUGGGAGAAUCACACCAACGGCCUCCUGCUCCUAUUGUAAAAAUGUUACUAAUUUUUGUAAGUUGUCAAGAAUCUCUUCUGAGCCAUCAAACUCCCCCAAGAGGACCUUAAAUCUUUCUUGUGGGAGCAAUCUCUUUGUCCCCCAUCCAAGAUGGAUGAGACACGGGGUUCACAACCACCACUGGUCCCUUCUGUUACCAACUCUCGGUUGCCAACACCUAAAUCUAAGACAAAAAUGCCUAAGUCUAAUAAGCCCUCGGAAUCGGCAUCUCAAUCGAUUCCAACACUGAAAUCCAGUCCGAAACCAGUCGGUACCAAACCAAAUAGUCUUCCAUCGACGCUCAGCCACCAGUACAACACCCUCCCGUGCAGGAUCAACCACCUAUCGAUCUUGAUACUGACCAUGAAUCCAUUCAACAACCUUGAAUUACUUGCGAUUUUCAAAGCAUUCCGCGCCUUCGAACCACUCAUUGCUGGCACCGCGGUGCAAGUGACCACAGACAAUACGACAGCUCUAUUACAUCAACAAACAGGGAGGUACACUCUACCCCUUCUGUAUCUUGCUGUCCAAUUUUGGGGACUGGUGCCUAAUUCACCAUAUCUUCCCCAUAGCGCUUCACAUUGCCACACAAUGCAGACUGAACUUUCAGAUGCACGAGUGGUCCGACAACACUAUUUUUUCCAGCUGUACACCAAAUGGGGUCGUCCAGACAUAGACGUUUUCACCACAGCAAUCAAUGCUAAAUGCAUCCAGUACUUCUCCAGGGCAGGCCUGGCCCGAGGCUCCCUCGGCAAUGCUGUAAUGGCAAACUGGAAUACGCAUUUCCUUUACCUCUUUCCACCGAUCCUACUUUUCCUGCGGACCAUUGUCAAAUUGCGACAGAACCGUUCAACGAUGCUCAGGUUGAUAGCCUCCCAAUCCAUCCAUCUAUUGCUGCUCCCACACCUUCUCACCCAGCAUCAGGGGCAAACUCUAGCACUGUUUUCUUUGUGCAAGCUCACAAGAGGAGAGGUUCCAGAUCACAUUGAGGCUCUUCUUGUGAGCAAGAAUGCUGGGUUCUUGCUUACAUGGAGGACGGAAACAGGGCCAGGAAACUCUCCUCUUCAGACUUAUUGGUCAUGUGAAGAAAGCAGCAACAGAGUGGGGUGGGGUAAGGUGAUCCCCACUAAAUUUCAUGAAGAAACUGGAUUCUAUAAUGCCUGAACACAGCAAUACAGUCAGACAGGAGUCCACUUCAAAGAUUUCACAAGGAGCAAGGGACAGGAGAAGGACUAAGGAAAUCAUACAAUCCUGUUGUGAAUAUAUAUCAUCAAUCAAAAUCUGGUGACAGAGAAACUUAGAUGUGAUGUCUUUGUUAUUUGUGUGUUACAUUUUUGUAGUUUCAUCAGAUCAUCAAUUUUGCUCUGGGGGAAAAAUAGAGCAAGAACAGGAUGGUUGAAAUCUGCCGUGAAAAUGAGCAUGGCAGAGUGAGAGCACAGAGCUAUCACUUAAUCUGGGAUAUGGGACAUUUUCCCCUCAAGAUCAGUUUGGAUAAGAAUUUACCAGAUUACAUGAUCAUGUGAAAUUAGAUUAGUAUUUCUCAUAAUCAGCCUGGAAAGAACUUAAAGUAAUAAAACUUUGAAUGUGGGAAAAAUGGAAACAGAUACACAAAUUACUGUGCACAUGGAUGGAUCUGAGAACUCAACUAUUAAAAACUGAAGUUUUGGUUGCUGUAUAAUUCAGAUAUGGCUAGUUGAAUAACCCAGGGGUUUAAGUUUCUGGGUGCAAAGCCAGAAGUUGGGAGUUUGAUUCCUCACAGUGCCUCUUGUGAAAUAAAGCCAUCCUACAUGGUCUUGGGCAAGCUGUACAGUCCCAGAGUGCCCCCAGAAGAAGGGAAUGUUAUACUGCUUCUGAGUAUUCUCUGCCUGGAAAACCCUAACAAGUUUUCCAGAAUUGACUUGACAGCACAUGAUUAUUUAUUAUAUUCAAUCCUAGGCAUGGAACUGCCCACCUCUAGAGUGAUACUGAGCAUUGUCAGCAGCUUCAUGGGGUUCAGCAUUUUGUUACUCCUUGUAGGAGUAAGGUAGGAGAGGAAAUAGACAUUAAGGAGUGUCACCCACAUGUCGAUGUUAAAGCUGAGGGGAGGGGAGAUUAUAAGCCCUCCUUGGACUGCCAUUGCCUUCUUCUUGGCUCUGCUUACUCACACUCUGUAUUUAAAAUAUAUUCAUUUGGUUGCUUCGGGACCGGGUAGGAAUGUUGAUCACCUGAAUGGUGUAUUGAACUAAAGGUGGCCAGGAUUUUCUUUUUGUCUAUAGUGUCAAUAGAUUCUAUGUUCUGAUGAGUGACCAUCUUAUCCUGACAGUUCGGGCAUCAAUCUGUGGUUCCAGCUGCUGACUGGGAUCUACCAGACAUUCCUAUCUGUUCUUAAAUUGCACCCCUCUCCCCAUGUCAGCAGCACACAGACUCUUGCAAGUAGGCUCCGUGAAAACUUCCUGGCAAAGGCUGAGGUGGUUGUUUGAGGACAAAAAGAGGCUUCUGAAGAGCCUACAUGUGACAAGGACAGCUAUGUGUGCCUUUUUAAAAACCUCUAAAACAGUGAAUUAAGUGAAAGAAAAUCAAUCUUAAGACAUAACCCCCUCCCCAUCUUGUUUUAACUUCCUGCACAUUAUUUCAAGCCAUUUUCCCAGUCUAGCUGAUGGUAGCAGAAGUGAGCUGAGUGAUGGAGCACAACAAGGUAAGGCAGGGCUUUUCUCAUGUGCCUCGUCUUGCAUUAAAACUUUAAUGUAUUCAGAUUCUUGGUUUGUUCAGUCCCUAAUAAACUUAAUUUGUGUUUUGUCAGGUUCCAAUUAUGAGUAACUAUUGAAGAUUUAUUUGAUAAAGAAACAAAGAGAAUUCAUUUCAAAGUGUUUUCACUUUAACCCUUUCACAAAACCUGCUUAAUUACACAGAUAUUGUGUAACAAAAUCCAGUCAUAUUCUAAUGACAAAGGAAUGAACAAGAUUAGUUUGCUCUAAAAGUCUGGGGAAGUAAAACUGCCUGUCUCUUGAUUGAUUGAUAGAUAGAUUGAUUGAUAGAUUGAUUGAUUGAUUGAUAGGUCUUAUACCCUAACCAUUUAGUGGCAAACCACAAGUGUGCAAAACAGAUGAAGAACAAUAAACACAAAAAAAUCCACCCCAAACCACCAUGAUUAACAGACAUAACUCUUCAAGAUGGCAAAGCUAAAGACAGCUGAUUUGAUGCUAGGCAAUAGACCAUUAACAUAGGGCCGUCACAAAUUAACAUGGAAUUAAAAUUAUAAAAGGCCUGGGUAAAGAGCCAGGCUGUUUGCUUCCUGAAGCUAAGGAGGGUGGGAGACUGACACACCUCUACCAGAAAGGACUCCCAUAGUGACGCAACCAGUAUUGAAAAGGCCCAAUUUCUAGUUGAUGAUUUCCAGACUUCUUUUGGAGUGGCCACCUGCAACAUCAAUGAUUGGGAGGUGCGAGGUUGACCUGAGAGAAAAGCACUCUGUUUGCUAGCAAGGUCCUAAACUAAAGGGCUCUGUAAGAUAAUUAACAUUAGCACUUUGAAUUUGGCCUGGAAGCAUACCGGCAGCCACUGCAAAUGAGCCAAGACAGGUGAGAUGUGGUCAAAUUUCAGGGUAUCCAUGAUCAACCUGGUUGCUGCAUUUUGCACUUCUUGCAGCGUCUGAACCACCUUCAAGGUCAGCCCCAUGUUGCAGUAGUCAAUCCUCAAGAUUACCAACACAUGAACCAGUGUUAUUGGGAACGUCUUCUUGAGAAAGGGGUGGAAGUGUGUAUAUAGAGAAGGAAAGAGUUCCAAGUGACAGUUUUGGAGGCAAACUUUAGGCAUAGCAGGAUAAAGAUUACCAUAAGAUCUUGUGAAUCUGUUUAUGCAUAUUUUUCCUUUCUAUGAAAUAUUUCCACAGGACUUGGAUGGUAGAUCAGCAGCCUCAGAAACGGAAGCUAUCUACUGCAGGACAGGAUCAUCAAGCAUCAAGAAACCAAUCAUUCUUUCCUUAUAUGGGU